rnacentral:misc_RNA from 1 species
CAGAAAGAUGCUGAGGUCCAUGAGGAGCAAAGAUGGAAAAGACUCAAGAAGGCAGAUGAAAAUGAUGCUAAGGAAGCUGUACAUGCUGGCUCGUCUGGUGGUAGGAAUUUUCUGGAUGCUGCUCAAAGAAGUGUUUAUGGUGCUGGAAAGGGAGGAAGCUCCACAAUUGAGGAAAGUGUUCGUCGCCGAACACACUAUUCACAGAGAGCAGAAGCUUCAGAAGGCAAUGCUUUUCGGCGAUAAAAUGGAUGAAAAAAUUAAUGAAGUUCCUGCUGAGUUUUUCCAUAAUGAAUCACUUUAUGUAAUCCAAAUGUAUUUCAUUUUGAUCACACUGUUCUAUUAUCAUACUGAGCGAUUAUUGUGGGAUCAAGGUCAGAUUAAGUAUGCUGGUGUUCAUCUUGCCACAAAUAUACUUGGUGUAACUGAAAUCGUGAACUUG